rfam:Sporomusa sphaeroides DSM 2875 SPSPH_contig000005, whole genome shotgun sequence.
CUAAAGACUAUGAAGAGGAGAAGUAGCAUUCAAUUACAGCGCAGAGAGCCGGCGGCUGGUGAAAGCCGGACUGGGGUUGAAUCGUGAAGUACACCUCGGAGUUGCUAGCUGAAGAUUCAGCGACUCAUUUUGAUGGGUUGAAGAAUUGGUAGGUGUGGCCGGAGCUUCCGCCGUUAGCAGGAAGGGGGUAUCGGUAAGCAGUAUGUCUUGCCCGUACUCUAGUGAGGAGGAGCCGGUAGAAUGGUUUGGCGGCUCUACAAGGGUGGUAUCGCGGGAAUUAUACUCCCGUCCCUUAU